UACGGAGGGUGCGGGCGUUGUCCGGAAUCAUUGGGCGUAAAGGGCGCGUAGGUGGCCCGGUCAGUCCGUGGUGAAAGCGCGGGGCUCAACCCUGCGUCGGCCAUGGAUACUGCCGCGGCUCGAGCACUGUAGAGGCAGGCGGAAUUCCGGGUGUAGCGGUGGAAUGCGUAGAUAUCUGGAGGAACACCGGUGGCGAAGGCGGCAUCCUGGACCGGCAUUGACGCUGAGGCGCGAAAGCUAGGGGAGCAAACGGG
rnacentral:rRNA from 1 species